rnacentral:rRNA from 1 species
CUAAAUGCGGAAGAGAUAAGUGCUGAAAGCAUCUAAGCACGAAACUUGCCCCGAGAUGAGUUCUCCCUGACCCUUUAAGGUCCUGAAGGAACGUUGAAGACGACGACGUUGAUAGGCCGGGUGUGUAAGCGCAGCGAUGCGUUGAGCUAACCGGUACUAAUGAACCGUGAGGCUUAACCUUACAACGCCGAAGGUGUUU